GGUAGCUGCUUUUUGGCGCGUGCCCGGGACGCCAUCGCGGGCCUCACCCCUCAGGCUCUGGAGGAGAAAAGGGAAAAACUGCCCUGAGGCCGACCCUGAGGUGCAGAGGGCGGUGGCGAUGGACUGGCGGAGUCGAGGGACUGGACAGCAUUUGAAUGGACGUCGGUAGACUCCAAUAUGGGCCUGGAACCCGGGCUGGGGGACCUGGGGAAGUUGCUGGAGCCCUCCGGGCCUAUUUCCUCGCGCUGCAUCAGCCACUGUGGAGGCGUUAGGAAGUUUAAUGUGCAAUUUUACGCAAGUAUCUCGUCACAGAGCCUGACCUGUGGCAUUUGAUGAACGCUUAGUUUAAGGACAAGCUGGUCAGGAGAAACUGGCCCCGGGGCAGAGGGUGUGUACGUUGGAAACGCAGAUGUGAACACGCUCUCAGGCCAGAAGUUUAUGAACACUGGAUUUUGGAGACGGGUUGGAAUUAUAACUAGUGGGAUUGGGACAGUUGCAUGCUAAGCACUGUAUCAGAAUUAUCUUGUGUGACCUUCACAACGGUAUGAGAUAGGUGCUAAGACGAUUUUGUAAAUAAGGAACCCCGGGCUUCAUGAGGUUAACUGGCAGAAGUCACCAGGCUAGGAAGUGGCCAACAUUUAAAGUCAAAGCUACAGAGCCUGAUGUCACAAGAGCCAUUUUCGGUUCUUCACCAAGCCCAGAUAACCAAAGUUUCUUGAAGUAAACUAAUUGUCUCAUGUGUAUAUAGCUCCACCUGGCCUGAAACUCACCACGUAGAUCAAGCUGGCUUCGAACUAAGAGAUCAACCUGAAAAAAAAAAAAAAAUCAACCUGCCUCUGCCUCCCUACCGCUGAGAUUAAAGGCAUGCACCACCAUCA